rnacentral:rRNA from 1 species
GACGAACGCUGGCGGCGUGCUUAACACAUGCAAGUCGAGCGGUAAGGCCCUUUCGGGGGUACACGAGCGGCGAACGGGUGAGUAACACGUGGGUGACCUGCCCUUAGCUCUGGGAUAAGCCUGGGAAACUGGGUCUAAUACCGGAUAUGACUCCAUGACGCAUGUUGUGGGGUGGAAAGCCUUGUGCGGCUAGGGAUGGGCCCGCGGCCUAUCAGCUUGUUGGUGGGGUGAUGGCCUACCAAGGCGACGACGGGUAGCCGGCCUGAGAGGGCGACCGGCCACACUGGGGACUGAGACACGGCCCAGACUCCUACGGGAGGCAGCAGUGGGGAAUCUUGCACAAUGGGCGAAAGCCUGACGCAGCGACGCCGCGUGGGGAUGACGGCCU